rnacentral:rRNA from 1 species
AUUGAACGCUGGCGGCAGGCCUAACACAUGCAAGUCGAACGAGUGGCGGACGGGAUGGUAAUGACUGGGCAACUGCGUGAUGGAGGGGGAUAACUACUGGUAACGGUAGCUAAUACUGCAUACCAUUGGCUAUACCCGGAUGGGAUUAGCUGGUAGGUGGGGUAAAGGCUGACCUAGGCGACUAUCCCUAGCUGGUCUGAGAGGAGGACCAGCCACACUGGAACUGAGACACGGUCCAUACUCCUACGGGAGGCAGCAGUGGGGAAUAUUGCACAAUGGGCGCAAGCCUGAUGCAGCCAUGCCGCGUGUAUGAAGAAGGCCUUCGGGUUGUAAAGUACUUUCAGCGGGGAGGCGUUACCCGCAGAAGAAGCACCGGCUAACUCCGUGCCAGCAGCCGCGGUAAUAC